rnacentral:rRNA from 2 species
AGACAUGCAAGUCGAACGGAAGUCGUUACAAUCAGAGUGAAAGAUUUAUCCGGAACGAAGAAUGUAACAAUGGCUUUAGUGGCGGACUGGUGAGUAACACGUAAGGAACCUGCCUAUUAGAGGGGAAUAACAACGAGAAAUCGUUGCUAAUACCGCAUAAGCUGAAAGUAUCGCAUGAUACAGUCAGAAAAGGAGCAAUCCGCUAAUAGAUGGCCUUGCGCCCGAUUAGCUAGUUGGUGGGGUAACGGCCUACCAAGGCAACGAUCGGUAGCCGAGCUGAGAGGCUCAACGGCCACAUUGGGACUGAGAUACGGCCCAGACUCCUACGGGAGGCAGCAGUCGGGAAUAUUGCGCAAUGGAGGAAACUCUGACGCAGUGACGCCGCGUAUAGGAAGAAGGUUUUCGGAUUGUAAACUAUUUUAGACAGGGAAGAAAAUGACAGUACCUGUAGAAUAAGCUCCGGCUAACUACGUGCCAGCAGCCGCGGUAAUACGUAGGGAGCAAGCGUUAUCCGGAUUUAUUGGGUGUAAAGGGUGCGUAGACGGGAAAGCAAGUUAGUUGUGAAAGCCCUCGGCUUAACUGAGGAACUGCAACUAAAACUAUUUUUCUUGAGUGCAGGAGAGGAAAGCGGAAUUCCUAGUGUAGCGGUGAAAUGCGUAGAUAUUAGGAGGAACACCAGUGGCGAAGGCGGCUUUCUGGACUGUAACUGACGUUGAGGCACGAAAGUGUGGGGAGCAAACAGGAUUAGAUACCCUGGUAGUCCACACCGUAAACGAUGGAUACUAGGUGUAGGAGAUGAUUUCAUCAUCUGUGCCGAAAGCAAACGCAAUAAGUAUCCCACC